UGCAAGUCGAACGAUGAACCACUUCGGUGGGGAUUAGUGGCGAACGGGUGAGUAACACGUGGGCAAUCUGCCCUUCACUCUGGGACAAGCCCUGGAAACGGGGUCUAAUACCGGAUACGACCUGCCGAGGCAUCUCGGCGGGUGGAAAGCUCCGGCGGUGAAGGAUGAGCCCGCGGCCUAUCAGCUAGUUGGUGAGGUAACGGCUCACCAAGGCGACGACGGGUAGCCGGCCUGAGAGGGCGACCGGCCACACUGGGACUGAGACACGGCCCAGACUCCUACGGGAGGCAGCAGUGGGGAAUAUUGCACAAUGGGCGAAAGCCUGAUGCAGCGACGCCGCGUGAGGGAUGACGGCCUUCGGGUUGUAAACCUCUUUCAGCAGGGAAGAAGCGAAAGUGACGGUACCUGCAGAAGAAGCGCCGGCUAACUACGUGCCAGCAGCCGCGGUAAUACGUAGGGCGCAAGCGUUGUCCGGAAUUAUUGGGCGUAAAGAGCUCGUAGGCGGCUUGUCACGUCGGUUGUGAAAGCCCGGGGCUUAACCCCGGGUCUGCAGUCGAUACGGGCAGGCUAGAGUUCGGUAGGGGAGAUCGGAAUUCCUGGUGUAGCGGUGAAAUGCGCAGAUAUCAGGAGGAACACCGGUGGCGAAGGCGGAUCUCUGGGCCGAUACUGACGCUGAGGAGCGAAAGCGUG
rnacentral:rRNA from 2 species